rnacentral:rRNA from 1 species
CCCUUAGACGUCCUGGGCCGCACGCGUGCUACACUGAUACGUACAACAAGGUAUAUGCAUUCAUGCAUCGAUGCUGCUCCGAAAUAGACACAGCUAAAUCUUCUAAAAUACGUAUCGUGCUGCGGAUAGAUCGUUGAAAUUAUGGAUCUUGAAGGUGGAAUUCCUAGUAAGCGCGGGUCAUCAACCCGCAUUGAUUACGUCCCUGCCCUUUGUACACACCGCCCGUCGCACCUACCGAUUGAAUGGUCCGGUGAAAUCUCGGGACGGCGGCUUGGUCGCUUGCGUCCGACUGCCGAAACUUGAUUAAACCAUAUCAUUUAGAGGAAGGUGAAGUCGUAACA